CCUACGGGUGGCAGCAGUGAGGAAUAUUGGUCAAUGGACGAGAGUCUGAACCAGCCAAGUAGCGUGAAGGAUGACUACCCUAUGGGUUGUAAACUUCUUUUAUAAAGGAAUAAAACGAGGCACGUGUGCCUUUUUGCAUGUACUUUAUGAAUAAGGAUCGGCUAACUCCGUGCCAGCAGCCGCGGUAAUACGGAGGAUCCGAGCGUUAUCCGGAUUUAUUGGGUUGAAAGGGAGCGUAGAUGGGUUGUUAAGUCAGUUGUGAAAGUUUGCGGCUCAACCGUAAAAUUGCAAUUGAUACUGGCAGUCGUGAGUACAGUUGAGGUAGGCGGAAUUCGUGGUGUAGCGGUGAAAUGCUUAGAUAUCACGAAGAACUCCGAUUGCGAAGGCAGCUUACUAAACUGCCACUGACAUUGAUGCUCGAAAGUGUGGGUAUCAAACAGGAUUAGAUACCCUUGUAGUC
rnacentral:rRNA from 1 species